AUUGAACGCUGGCGGCAGGCCUAACACAUGCAAGUCGAGCGAGAGGCGGAAGGGUGAGUAAUGUAUGGGGAUCUGCCCGAUAGAGGGGGAUAACUAAUGGAAACGGUGGCUAAUAACGCAUACUAGCGGCUGAGCCCAAAGGGGAGUAGGUAGUGGGGGGGGUAAAGGCGCACCUAGGCGCCGAUCUCUAGCUGGUAUGAGAGGAUGAUCAGCCACACUGGGACUGAGAAACGGCCCAGACUCCUACGGGAGGCAGCAGUGGGGAAUAUGGCACAAUGGGCGCAAGCCUGAUGCAGCCAUGCCGCGUGUAUGAAGAAGGCCUUCGGGUUGUAAAGUACUUUCAGCGGGGAGGCGUUACCCGCAGAAGAAGCACCGGCUAACUCCGUGCCAGCAGCCGCGGUAAUAC
rnacentral:rRNA from 1 species